AGAGUUUGAUCCUGGCUCAGGACGAACGCUGGCGGCGUGCUUAACACAUGCAAGUCGAACGGUGAUGUCAGAGCUUGCUCUGGCGGAUCAGUGGCGAACGGGUGAGUAACACGUGAGUAACCUGCCCCCGACUCUGGGAUAACUGCUAGAAAUGGUAGCUAAUACCGGAUAUGACGAUUGGCCGCAUGGUCUGGUCGUGGAAAGAAUUUCGGUUGGGGAUGGACUCGCGGCCUAUCAGGUUGUUGGUGAGGUAAUGGCUCACCAAGCCUACGACGGGUAGCCGGCCUGAGAGGGUGACCGGCCACACUGGGACUGAGACACGGCCCAGACUCCUACGGGAGGCAGCAGUGGGGAAUAUUGCACAAUGGGCGCAAGCCUGAUGCAGCAACGCCGCGUGAGGGAUGACGGCCUUCGGGUUGUAAACCUCUUUUAGUAGGGAAGAAGCGAAAGUGACGGUACCUGCAGAAAAAGCACCGGCUAACUACGUGCCAGCAGCCGCGGUAAUACGUAGGGUGCAAGCGUUGUCCGGAAUUAUUGGGCGUAAAGAGCUCGUAGGCGGUUUGUCGCGUCUGCUGUGAAAUCCCGAGGCUCAACCUCGGGUCUGCAGUGGGUACGGGCAGACUAGAGUGCGGUAGGGGAGAUUGGAAUUCCUGGUGUAGCGGUGGAAUGCGCAGAUAUCAGGAGGAACACCGAUGGCGAAGGCAGAUCUCUGGGCCGUAACUGACGCUGAGGAGCGAAAGCAUGGGGAGCGAACAGGAUUAGAUACCCUGGUAGUCCAUGCCGUAAACGUUGGGAACUAGAUGUGGGGACCAUUCCACGGUCUCCGUGUCGCAGCUAACGCAUUAAGUUCCCCGCCUGGGGAGUACGGCCGCAAGGCUAAAACUCAAAGGAAUUGACGGGGGCCCGCACAAGCGGCGGAGCAUGCGGAUUAAUUCGAUGCAACGCGAAGAACCUUACCAAGGCUUGACAUAUACCGGAAACAUGCAGAGAUGUGUGCCCCGCAAGGUCGGUAUACAGGUGGUGCAUGGUUGUCGUCAGCUCGUGUCGUGAGAUGUUGGGUUAAGUCCCGCAACGAGCGCAACCCUCGUUCUAUGUUGCCAGCACGUAAUGGUGGGAACUCAUAGGAGACUGCCGGGGUCAACUCGGAGGAAGGUGGGGAUGACGUCAAAUCAUCAUGCCCCUUAUGUCUUGGGCUUCACGCAUGCUACAAUGGCCGGUACAAAGGGCUGCGAUACCGUAAGGUGGAGCGAAUCCCAAAAAGCCGGUCUCAGUUCGGAUUGAGGUCUGCAACUCGACCUCAUGAAGUCGGAGUCGCUAGUAAUCGCAGAUCAGCAACGCUGCGGUGAAUACGUUCCCGGGCCUUGUACACACCGCCCGUCAAGUCAUGAAAGUCGGUAACACCCGAAGCCAGUGGCCUAACCGCAAGGGAGGAGCUGUCGAAGGUGGGAUCGGUGAUUAGGACUAAGUCGUAACAAGGUAGCCGUACCGGAAGGUGCGGCUG
rnacentral:rRNA from 1 species